rnacentral:rRNA from 1 species
GCUGGCGGCGCGCCUAACACAUGCAAGUCGAACGAGAAAGUGGAGCAAUCCAUGAGUACAGUGGCGUACGGGUGAGUAACACGUGGGUAAUCUACCUCUUAGUGUGGAAUAACCCUGGGAAACCGGGGCUAAUACCGCAUAAGCUCGAGAGAGGAAAGCAGCAAUGCGCUGAGAGAGGAGCCCGCGGCCGAUUAGCUAGUUGGCAGGGUAAAAGCCUACCAAGGCAAAGAUCGGUAGCCGGCCUGAGAGGGCACACGGCCACACUGGCACUGAAACACGGGCCAGACUCCUACGGGAGGCAGCAGUGGGGAAUCUUGCACAAUGGGGGCAACCCUGAUGCAGCGACGCCGCGUGAGCGAUGAAGCCCUUCGGGGUGUAAAGCUCUUUCGGCAGGGAAGAUUAUGACGGUACCUGCAGAAGCAGCUGCGGCUAACUACGUGCCAGCAGCCGCGGUAAUACGUAGGCAGCAAGCGUUGUUCGGAGUUACUGGGCGUAAAGGGUGUGUAGGCGGUUCUCUAAGUUUGGUGUGAAAUCUCCCGGCUCAACUGGGAGGGUGCGCCGAAUACUGAAGGACUAGAGUACGGGAGAGGAGAGUGGAAUUCCUGGUGUAGCGGUGAAAUGCGUAGAUAUCAAGAGGAACACCGGUGGUGUAGACGGC